rnacentral:rRNA from 1 species
UACGUAGGGUGCAAGCGUUGUCCGGAAUUAUUGGGCGUAAAGAGCUCGUAGGCGGCUUGUCGCGUCGGCUGUGAAAACCCGUGGCUCAACCAUGUGGUCUGCAGUCGAUACGGGCAGGCUAGAAUUCGGUAGGGGAGACUGGAAUUCCUGGUGUAGCGGUGAAAUGCGCAGAUAUCAGGAGGAACACCGGUGGCGAAGGCGGGCCUCUGGGCCGAUAUUGACGCUGAGGAGCGAAAGCGUGGGGAGCGAACAGG